CUCAUUUUUUAGGAAUCUGAAGCUUUAUUCCUCAAGGCAAUUAAAGCAAAUCCAAAUGCUGCAAGUUACCAUGGUAAUUUGGCUGUGCUUUAUCAUCGUUGGGGACAUCUAGACUUGGCCAAGAAACACUAUGAAAUCUCCUUGCAGCUUGACCCCACGGCAUCAGGAACUAAGGAGAAUUACGGUCUGCUGAGAAGAAAGCUAGAACUAAUGCAAAAGAAAGCUGUCUGAUCCUGUUUCCUUCAUGUUUUGAGUUUGAGUGUGUGUGUGCAUGAGGCAUAUCAUUAAUAGUAUGUGGUUACAUUUAACCAUUUAAAAGUCUUAGACAUGUUAUUUUACUGAUUUUUUUCUAUGAAAACAAAGACAUGCAAAAAGAUUAUAGCACCAGCAAUAUACUCUUGAAUGCGUGAUAUGAUUUUUCAUUGAAAUUGUAUUUUUUCAGACAACUCAAAUGUAAUUCUAAAAUUCCAAAAAUGUCUUUUUUAAUUAAACAGAAAAAGAGAAAAAAUUAUCUUGAGCAACUUUUAGUAGAAUUGAGCUUACAUUUGGGAUCUGAGCCUUGUCGUGUAUGGACUAGCACUAUUAAACUUCAAUUAUGACCAAGAAAGGAUACACUGGCCCCUACAAUUUGUAUAAAUAUUGAACAUGUCUAUAUAUUAGCAUUUUUAUUUAAUGACAAAGCAAAUUAAGUUUUUUUAUCUCUUUUUUUUAAAACAACAUACUGUGAACUUUGUAAGGAAAUAUUUAUUUGUAUUUUUAUGUUUUGAAUAGGGCAAAUAAUCGAAUGAGGAAUGGAAGUUUUAACAUAGUAUAUCUAUAUGCUUUUCCCCAUAGGAAGAAAUUGACUCUUGCAGUUUUUGGAUGCUCUGACUUGUGCAAUUUCAAUACACAGGAGAUUAUGUAAUGUAAUAUUUUACAUAAGCGGUUACUAUCAAUUGAAAGUUCAAGCCAUGCUUUAGGCAAGAGCAGGCAGCCUCACAUCUUUAUUUUUGUUACAUCCAAGGUGAAGAGGGCAACACAUCUGUGUAAGCUGCUUUUUAGUGUGUUUAUCUGAAGGCCGUUUUCCAUUUUGCUUAAUGUAACUACAGACAUUAUCCAGAAAAUGCAAAAUUUUCUAUCAAAUGGAGCCACAUUCGGGGAAUUCGUGGUAUUUUUAAGAAUUGAGUUGUUCCUGCUGUUUUUUAUUUGAUCCAAACAAUGUUUUGUUUUGUUCUUCUCUGUAUGCUGUUGACCUAAUGAUUUAUGCAAUCUCUGUAAUUUCUUAUGCAGUAAAAUUACUACACAAACU
rnacentral:lncRNA from 1 species